GUUUCAUGUCUAGGUCCAGUCUAUAAACCUCCAGUAGUCGAGAAAUAAACCGAUCAUUUUAGCCGAUUAUUGGUUAACCAAGGUUAUAAUGUAUUCUUUAGAGGUGCUAAUGUUCGUAUGACAAACAAUGGGUACAGUGUUGAUCUUAUCUUAGAUAAAUCUUCAGGUUCUGGACUGAUCUCUAAGGACAAAUACUACUACGGUUUCUUCAACUGCUCUAAAAUUGCCUGAUCAUUUUACAUAUGGAGUUGUAAUUGUCUUUUAUUUGUCUAAUUCUGAUGUGUUCCCACACAAUCAUGGAAGUGGAAGUGUUUACACAGGGAGAGAAGAGAAGUUUUACUUCUUGUUUGAUCCAACACUGGAUUUUCAUGACUACAACAUCCUCUGGAAUAAUCAUCACAUAGUGUAAGCUUAGUUGAUAUAAUCUAACUAUUACCUCCAUUUCAUUUUAUAUGAUAUUGUUUAAUUAUACAUGGAGUUUUAAAAAAAACAAUCUUGGCGCACAGUAGAGGAGCCACCUUAUAGCAACUGACACC